rnacentral:rRNA from 1 species
GAUGAACGCUGGCGGCGUGCCUAAUACAUGCAAGUCGAGCGAACAGACGAGGAGCUUGCUCCUCUGACGUUAGCGGCGGACGGGUGAGUAACACGUGGAAAACCUACCUAUAAGACGGGGAUAACUUCGGGACACCGGAGCUAAUACCGGAUAAUAUAUUUAACCGCGUGGUUCAAUAGUAAAAUACGGUUUUGCUGGCACUUAUCGAUGGAUCCCUGCCGCAUUAGCUAGUUGGUAAGGUAAAGGCUUACCACGUCGACGAUGCGUAGCCGACCUGAGAGGGUGAUCGCCCACACUGGAACUGAGCCGCCGUCCAGAGUCCUACGGGAGGCAGCAGUAGCGUAUCUUCCGCAACGGGCGAGAGCCUUACGGAGCAACGCCGCGUGAGUGACGAAGGUCUUCCGUUCGUAAAACUCUGUUAUUAGUGAAGAACCAAUGUCUAAGUAACUGUGCACGUAUUGACGGUACCUACUCAGAAAGCACCGGCUAACUACGUG